rnacentral:rRNA from 1 species
AGAACGAACGCUGGCGGCAGGCUUAACACAUGCAAGUCGAGCGCCCCGCAAGGGGAGCGGCAGACGGGUGAGUAACGCAUGGGAACAUACCCUCCGGUUCGGAAUAGCUCAGGGAAACUUGGAUUAAUACCGGAUACGGCCUAGCGGCGAAAGAUUCAUCGCCGGAGGAUUGGCCCGCGUUCGAUUAGCUAGUUGGUGAGGUAACGGCUCACCAAGGCGACGAUCGAUAGCUGGUCUGAGAGGAUGAUCAGCCACAUUGGGACUGAGACACGGCCCAAACUCCUACGGGAGGCAGCAGUGGGGAAUAUUGGACAAUGGGCGCAAGCCUGAUCCAGCCAUGCCGCGUGAGUGAUGACGGCCUUAGGGUUGUAAAGCUCUUUCGCUAGGGACGAUAAUGACGGUACCUAGACAAGAAGCCCGGCUAACUUCGUGCCAGCAGCCGC